GCUGAGGUGUGAGCUUGCGCAGAAGCCAAAAUUCAGUCUCCUGCUCAGGACAGGGUGGAUUGGUGUGGACUCAGUGUAGAAGCUGAAGAAAGAAAGAAAGCGAGAUGGCUUGGAUUUUGAACUUUUCGUGAAGUCUCAUUUUGUCUUUUGAAGAAUAAUAAGAAGAAGUGCUUGCGGCAACUGCCUGAGGACUCUUCACCGAACAGCUGCUUUAUCAACGUGGGACUCAGUACACUGGAGGAUUCUGAUAGUGAUGAGGCCUGGGCACAAUUAUCUGUUGGGGUGCUGACUGUCAUCAGUGAAGGUGUGCCUCUCUCUCCAAAUCAUCUCCACCUUGAUCCAGUGUCUACUGCCGUCAUUGAUGAGGGAGGUAUUGUAAUGGACGAUCUCCAGAACCUAUCUCAAGCACUUUUCCCCUUGUUUGGGCUGUCAUAUGCUUUACACUUGAACUACCCUAAAGCCAUGAAAAACACCUUCAGCUUCAUUCAAAGAGUGAUGCUUGUUAUUUUUUAGUUCUACCUGUUGGUAUGGGCUUUGGCUUAUGGUGUACAGAAGCCAGUAUUUGCCAUGACAGUAGCUGCACACAGUCUCUAAAAAUUGUUUUAAACCAGCACUAUGCGAUUUUAAAUUGGCAGAAUGUGUUAAUAGACCUGAAAACUAAAGUGUGCUUUGUGACCUUUUGAGAUAAACCUUUUGAGUAAUGAGAUAAACCAAUUCAAAAUUGUGCAGACCAACCCUGUUUUCAGCCCUUUGUGCCUCUUCUACAAAGUUUCCAUUUUUUUCUGUUCUGAAAUGGUUCUCAUAAAGGAUGUUCAGUAAAUAAAACUGUAUUGUUGGUGUGAAUCACAAAUUCAAAGUAGCAACAAUCAGUUGCAAAAAAAAUCAUAAUUGAACUUUGAACUGUCAUUACCUUGAUUCAUUAUGUGUAACUGUAAAUGAGACUGUUUGAGAAGAAUGGAACCUGUUUUUCAUUAAUGUAUAAAGGAUGUUUUAAGUUACACAAGUUA